CAAGAGCGUAUGUCAAAGUUGUUGCAGUUAAAAAGCUCGUAGUUGAACCUUGGGUUUGGUUGGCCGGUCCGCUUUUUUGCGAGUACUGGAUUCAACCGAGCCUUUCCUUCUGGCUAACCAGUCGUUUCGGCGGCUGGCGAACCAGGAUUUUUACUUUGAGAAAAUUAGAGUGUUCAAAGCAGGCAUUAGCUUGAAUAUAUUAGCAUGGAAUAAUAGAAUAGGACGUUAUGGUUCUAUUUUGUUGGUUUCUAGGACCAUCGUAAUGAUUAAUAGGGACGGUCGGGGGCAUCAGUAUUCAGUUGUCAGAGGUGAAAUUCUUGGAUUUACUGAAGACUAACUACUGCGAAAGCAUUUGCCAAGGACGUUCUCAUUAA
rnacentral:rRNA from 1 species